UCAGGCCUUGAGCAAGGGCCUCACUCCAGCCUCUACUUCUGAAGAGACCCCUGCUCAAGUUCCGGACAAGGUUCUCAACUCGGUGCCUCCUCCCCAGACCUCUACUUCCAACGCGACUCCUGCUCAGGCUCCAGGCAAGGGUCUUGCCGUGGCGUCUCCUCCCGACCCCUCCCCCUCUUCCAGCGUCAGGAAAAUGUCAGGAUAUCAGAAGCUUUAACUCAAUAAAUUCCCAACAACAAGAUUCUAGGACCUUUCUACAUUAAGUGAGAUUGUUCUGGAGGAGUUCUAAAUCUGUCUUUGACACAGGAGGGAAUGAAAAGAACAAUAGCAGUGAUGUAUUCACCAGGAUGAAGGAGAUGCUGAGCUACAACAAUGGGGGUGACCCAGACUGGAUGAAGAAAAGACACUACAUUAUGCUUAGCUAUUACUUUGAAUAUGCUGAGGACUGUGAGUGACUCUGAGUCCUGCUAGUGAUUGAAGUAGUCAGUUGGCAAGAUCCUUUGAUUUCUCCUUCUUUGUCCCUGAAAGAUGCUGCAGAAGUCCUUGUCCUUCACCAUUCUCUAAAUCCCUUGGGGUUUUGUGGGGGAAUUCUGCUGUAUAGAAGUAAGGAGCAAAAAAGAAAGUUAAAGAAAGCCUAGAUAUC